rnacentral:lncRNA from 1 species
GCCAGGAGCUGGGCAAAGCACCUGCAGAAAGCCCCCAAGGAACGGCUGUGGUGAAGGUCCGAUGAUGCCAAACAUUUUCAUUUCUCAGGAGAAAAAGUCAGUGGUGCUUGGCAGGAUUUGGACUUCUCUGCAAGACACCUCUGAUCACAACACAUCCUCAUGGUUUGAAAAAUUCAUCCAAGAACCUGCAAUGUCACAAACAGGAGCUGGAGCUAAACAUGUCUGGGAAGACAAAUUCCUUAACUGUUCAGUGCUGAAGGACAUGUUAAUUUGUGAACCGUACCAAAAAGACAUUUUUAUAACACGUUUAACGCUCCAAAGCUAUGAGGGAACAGCAGCGAGAGUGAAGGAGGACAGCUCUGCUGGUAUUAAAAGGGUCAUUAAACUCAGCAUUAGGUCCCACUGUUUCUUGGUCAGAUCAGGUUUUUUGUUGUUUCAUGGGACAAGUUCUGUCCUUUGGUGAGUAAAGCAGGAUUGAUUUCAGUCAGAAGUAAUGUGUGUGUGCACCCAAGAACUGGCUUUUGUUCUGUAUGAAGCAACCACUCUCACUGAUUUAUGCCCCACAUUUUCAAAAAUGCAAUAAUAGCACUGCAUUGUCUAAAUCAGGAAUGUGUACAUUAUCCUAAAAGUUGAGAUGCAGGAGAGCAGAAGAACACCUUUGUCAGGUCAAGAAACGUGAUUAUUUCCAUGGCUACCAGCAGCUCUUAAUUGCCAUAAUAGGCUCUUAUUCGGGGAGAAGUAGUUAGGUUUGCACAGAAGAGUGAAUAGGUACUUUAUGAAAAAACCAUUAACUACAGAGAAAAGUUCUCAAAGUAGAACUGAAAUAUGGAACAAAAUACAGGCAGCUGCUUGGCAUCUCCAGAAAUAGUACACAGGGUGUUCUUAGUCAUCCAUGUCUUCUAUAGGGAAAACAACACAAAUAUCCCAUUAAAAUAUUUAAUUACUGUAAUACUCCUUAUUACCAACUAAACAUAAAUAAAAG